GACGCUGGUGCCGGAUGGUGAGGCGACUGCCCGCAAAGCAGUGGAAACAGGUUCGAUUCCUGUCGGCGUCU
rnacentral:tRNA from 1 species